rnacentral:lncRNA from 1 species
UGAGAGAAAUGAAAGAAUUAGUUUGAGAGCAAGGAAAGAAAAUUUUGUUGAGGAAGAAAAAGAUAGAGAGAAAGAAAAGAAAAAUUAUAAGACUGUGGGGAUGGAGAGGAAGAGCGUUAAUGGAAUUUAAUUAUUAUUGUAGAAGUGUGAUUAAGAAUAACUUGCUAAUAAUAUUUGGAUUUGUCCUACUUUUUAUGCAUGAAUUAUAGUUAAUUCAUAACACAAUAAGAAUAGGCUAAGUUAUCAUAAAUAGUUAUGGUGAUGGGAUAUAUGA